GCCGUUGGGAGAUUUGAUCUCUUAGUGGCGCAGUUAACGCGAUAAGUAGACCGCCUGGGGAGUACGGCCGCAAGGUUAAAACUCAAAUGAAUUGACGGGGGCCCGCACAAGCGGUGGAGCAUGUGGUUUAAUUCGACGCAACGCGAAGAACCUUACCAGGUCUUGACAUCCUAGAAACUUAGCAGAGAUGCUUUGGUGCCUUCGGGAAUCUAGUGACAGGUGCUGCAUGGCUGUCGUCAGCUCGUGUCGUGAGAUGUUGGGUUAAGUCCCGUAACGAGCGCAACCCUUGUCCUUAGUUGCCAGCACGUAAUGGUGGGAACUCUAAGGAGACUGCCGGUGACAAACCGGAGGAAGGUGGGGACGACGUCAAGUCAUCAUGGCCCUUACGACCUGGGCUACACACGUGCUACAAUGGCCAGUACAGAGGGCUGCAAGCCCGCGAGGGGGAGCUAAUCUCACAAAGCUGGUCGUAGUCCGGAUCGCAGUCUGCAACUCGACUGCGUGAAGUUGGAAUCGCUAGUAAUCGUGAAUCAGAAUGUCACGGUGAAUACGUUCCCGGGCCUUGUACACACCGCCCGUCACACCAUGGGAGUAGGUUGCAAAAGAAGUAGCUAGGCUAACCUUCGGGAGGCCGGUUACCACUUUGUGAUUUAUGACUGGGGUG
rnacentral:rRNA from 1 species